AUACGAGUUUGAUCCUGGCUCAGAACGAACGCUGGCGGCAGGCUUAACACAUGCAAGUCGAACGCCCCGCAAGGGGAGGUGGCAGACGGGUGAGUAACGCGUGGGAACGUGCCCUUCGCUUCGGAAUAGCCUCGGGAAACUGGGAGUAAUACCGAAUACGCCGUAUUGGGAAAGAUUUAUCGGCGAAGGAUCGGCCCGCGUUGGAUUAGCUAGUUGGCGGUGUAAUGGACCACCAAGGCUACGAUCCAUAGCUGGUCUGAGAGGAUGAUCAGCCACACUGGGACUGAGACACGGCCCAGACUCCUACGGGAGGCAGCAGUGGGGAAUCUUGGACAAUGGGCGCAAGCCUGAUCCAGCCAUGCCGCGUGAGUGAAGAAGGCCUUAGGGUUGUAAAACUCUUUCGCCGGUGAAGAUAAUGACGGUAACCGGAGAAGAAGCCCCGGCUAACUUCGUG
rnacentral:rRNA from 1 species